GACAGGCUGACAGAACAAGCCCAAGGCCAGACCGAGGGCCUGGGGCAGGGCUUCUGGCAGGGUCCAGGGUCAGAAAUGCUCCAGCCAGAAUACGGAGCACCCCCCCCACCACCACCCUGAGAGCCAGAGGGGGGGCUAGUCUGAAAUGUGGAGAUGGGAUCGCGUGCGGGAGGCGAGAUCCAGACGGAAGCCCAGAGGGAUUCACCUUGCUCUGGCCGGAGCCAGGAAGGAGUGAAGCAGUGUAGGCGUCCAGCACGUGCCCGGCACGCGUGAGAGUCCACCGCAGCCAGCCGUCAGGACAAGGAGGAGGACAAAGGGGGUGAGUGCCGGGGACCUGGGGGGCCCUCACCCAGACUUCAGGGCUUCCAUUCAAGGAAGGCUUCAAGGAGGAGGUGAGCCUGAGCUGAGACUUGUGGGAGAAGUAGAGGCUAGGGCAGGAUGCCAGGAGGAAGGAGGAGCGAGCGCGUG
rnacentral:lncRNA from 1 species